GGAUCCCCAUGUGGGACACACUUUAGCAUGAACACAACCUUGCCUCGGAAAGCAUACGUGGGAAAAUAUGCCAGGGGGGUAGCUCCCCAAUUCUCCUGCCCAAAGAUGUUUGCCAUAGACUACGCUGACUGGCCCAUUCAGGAGCCCCUCGGGUUUCCGCUGGACCUACCCUUCUGAUUUGAGAUCAUCCACGUGUUUUCCCACCUCCGGAGGCUUUUAUUUUCUGCUUCCUCCCUUCUUAGUACAGUGCCAAUCACUGCUCUCCCCCGCCGCCCCCCUCCCCAAAGGCUCUCUGAGGCUGCUCCCUUUGUGAUUGGCAUCUCAUUAAUGAAGAAGGGCUGGUGUCUCUCAUUACAGUUAGAGUGAGUGAGAGGACCUCAGAACUAAUUUACUUGCUCUCACUAGGGAAGACACUUGCCUCCAUCAAGAACUUCACUUUCCUGCUGCCUGUGGCAAUAAAAGAACCCGUUUUGUUUUAACAUUAAUAAGGAAAUUCCACUCAUUGAUAAAGCUCGGCUUCGACGCCCCUGCUCACAAUGAAAUACCUUCCUUGCCAACCACAUUGCUUUAUGAUCGUGCCCCUUUACCACAUUGUACUUGAAAUGCCUUGUCAUUUAAGAAACCAUAAAAACGACGUCUUUAAAAAUGGGUUCAUCAUUUAGCUGGAGAUGGCUUCUGUGCCUGGAACCAGAAGCCUGUCCUCUCGGUGGUAUGCCUCCACAAAAGGAAGCGAGCUACCACAAAGGACAGCAUCAUGUGUUGCCUUCAUUGCUAUUGAAUCGGGAAGUUGGUGCCCAGUUUCAACAUGGAUGACAAAGUAGUGGGAAUCUGAAAUGCCUACAGUAGAAGUAAGGGUGUCUUUAUAUUGGGAAUAUCCUCGAUCCCAGGGCCCAUUUCUAAUUCCCCCUUCUCUCUUUCCCUGAUACAGGCUAUUUUUGAACGAGAAGGACUUUGGCUCAAAUCAACAGUUUGGUUUCUUACUGUUUACAUCUAUGAGUCAAAGUAGCUUGCUCCCAGGAUCCCCCACCAAACCGAAUGAAAAUAAAUUCAAUGUGUGCCCACUGA
ensembl:lncRNA novel transcript, antisense to RORA